rnacentral:misc_RNA from 1 species
GGCAAGGCAGCAAUAGUGUGUAUUGUGAAUCUCAACAUAUUGAAGGACAGAACGCCAACAAUCCAGCUUGGAUUCCUCCGCCUGUCAAAAACAUUCUUUUUGGAGACGGUAUUAGCACGGUCGCUCGAUGAUUCUAUGACCGCAAAGUUGUGCCAAGUUAUCUGUGUAUAGAUUAACUUUACUGACUGGUUUAUAAUCCCAGUACUAUGUAAAUGCUCCUGUACAGUUGUGAAACAAAC